rnacentral:rRNA from 1 species
CGUAGGGGUGGCUUCCAUCUGGAAGAAUCUGGAGACAGGUGCUGCAUGGCUGUCGUCAGCUCGUGUCGUGAGAUGUUGGGUUAAGUCCCGCAACGAGCGCAACCCUUGCCUUUAGUUGCCAGCAGUUCGGCUGGGCACUCUAAAGGGAACUGCCGGUGUUAAACCGGAGGAAGGUGGGGAUGACGUCAAGUCCUCAUGGCCCUUAUGACCAGGGCUACACACGUACUACAAUGGCCGAUACAAAGGGCAGCGACACUGCGAGGUGAAGCCAAUCCCGUAAAAUCGGUCUCAGUCCGGAUUGGAGUCUGCAACUCGACUCCGUGAAGUUGGAAUCGCUAGUAAUCGUGGAUCAGCAUGCCACGGUGAAUACGUUCCCGGGCCUU